AACGAACGCUGGCGGCAGGCCUAACACAUACAAGUCGAGCGCGCCUUCGGGUGAGCGGCGGACGGGUGAGUAACGCGUGGGAAUAUGCCCUUCUCUACGGAAUAGUCCUGGGAAACUGGGGGUAAUACCGUAUACGCCCUUUGGGGGAAAGAUUUAUCGGGGAAGGAUUAGCCCGCGUUGGAUUAGGUAGUUGGUGGGGUAAUGGCCUACCAAGCCGACGAUCCAUAGCUGGUUUGAGAGGAUGAUCAGCCACACUGGGACUGAGACACGGCCCAGACUCCUACGGGAGGCAGCAGUGGGGAAUCUUAGACAAUGGGGGCAACCCUGAUCUAGCCAUGCCGCGUGAGUGAUGAAGGCCUUAGGGUUGUAAAGCUCUUUCAGCUGGGAAGAUAAUGACGGUACCAGCAGAAGAAGCCCCGGCUAACUCCGUG
rnacentral:rRNA from 1 species